AUACAUGCAGUCGAGCGAACGGACGAGAAGCUUGCUUCUCUGAUGUUAGCGGCGGACGGGUGAGUAACACGUGGAUAACCUACCUAUAAGACUGGGAUAACUUCGGGAAACCGGAGCUAAUACCGGAUAAUAUUUUGAACCGCAUGGUUCAAAAGUGAAAGACGGUCUUGCUGUCACUUAUAGAUGGAUCCGCGCUGCAUUAGCUAGUUGGUAAGGUAACGGCUUACCAAGGCAACGAUGCAUAGCCGACCUGAGAGGGUGAUCGGCCACACUGGAACUGAGACACGGUCCAGACUCCUACGGGAGGCAGCAGUAGGGAAUCUUCCGCAAUGGGCGAAAGCCUGACGGAGCAACGCCGCGUGAGUGAUGAAGGUCUUCGGAUCGUAAAACUCUGUUAUUAGGGAAGAACAUAUGUGUAAGUAACUGUGCACAUCUUGACGGUACCUAAUCAGAAAGCCACGGCUAACUACGUGCCAGCAGCCGCGGUAAUACGUAGGUGGCAAGCGUUAUCCGGAAUUAUUGGGCGUAAAGCGCGCGUAGGCGGUUUUUUAAGUCUGAUGUGAAAGCCCACGGCUCAACCGUGGAGGGUCAUUGGAAACUGGAAAACUUGAGUGCAGAAGAGGAAAGUGGAAUUCCAUGUGUAGCGGUGAAAUGCGCAGAGAUAUGGAGGAACACCAGUGGCGAAGGCGACUUUCUGGUCUGUAACUGACGCUGAUGUGCGAAAGCGUGGGGAUCAAACAGGAUUAGAUACCCUGGUAGUCCACGCCGUAAACGAUGAGUGCUAAGUGUUAGGGGUUUCCGCCCCUUAGUGCUGCAGCU
rnacentral:rRNA from 1 species